rfam:Schistosoma haematobium scaffold32_13, whole genome shotgun sequence.
ACAUUGCUGAAGAGUCCCACAAUAGGACGAAUCGGUCGUCCAGUAC